CCUACGGGAGGCAGCAGUGGGGAAUAUUGCACAAUGGGCGAAAGCCUGAUGCAGCAACGCCGCGUGAGCGAUGAAGGCCUUCGGGUCGUAAAGCUCUGUCCUCAAGGAAGAUAAUGACGGUACUUAAGGAGGAAGCCCCGGCUAACUACGUGCCAGCAGCCGCGGUAAUACGUAGGGGGCUAGCGUUAUCCGGAAUUACUGGGCGUAAAGGGUGCGUAGGUGGUUUCUUAAGUCAGAGGUGAAAGGCUAGGGCUCAACCGUAGUAAGCCUUUGAAACUUGGAAACUUGAGUGCAGGAGAGGAGAGUGGAAUUCCUAGUGUAGCGGUGAAAUGCGUAGAUAUUAGGAGGAACACCAGUUGCGAAGGCGGCUCUCUGGACUGUAACUGACACUGAGGCACGAAAGCGUGGGGAGCAAACAGGAUUAGAUACCCUAGUAGUC
rnacentral:rRNA from 1 species